UAUAAACCUAUGAUCAAGGAUAGUAAGAAUAAUUGUUUGUGUAAAGAGAGUCGCUAGAUGCUGAGAAUGUGGCUACAAAGUUAUUCUGAAUGGUCUUGUGAGGGAAGCCCGAAAUUUUAAAAGAGUAGGUGCUUACGGGAAUCUCGCCCGUUAUCAGUGAGGAGUAUAUGAAUGUAUACUUAAAUGAGCGGACGAUUAAUCGUCAAUUUGGGUGGUACCGCAGAAGCUAAGACUUUUGUCCCUGUU
rnacentral:ncRNA from 1 species